rnacentral:lncRNA from 1 species
GCAGAUCGCGGGAGAGCCCAAUCACGGGGCGAGCUGGACCUGGCUGUGAUCAUUUAUAAUCCUUGACUCCUCCGCUCCGCCACUUGUCAAGAUGACAGGGGUCAUCCGUGAAUAACACUUCACGCUGAUGAAUGGCUCUUGCCGGCUUUCGGCUCUGAUGAGGGGUCUGCCCGCCGCCGAUUGAAAACACUAAUGAACUUACUGCGCCAUUUGAAAUUCACACGCACCAACAAAAUGGGGGGUGGGCAUUUCAGGUCAGCUGAGUCACCCGAGGAGGUGGCAGUGCAAGACACUGCCGGGAAGACGGAUUCCGAGGCAGAAGGGUGUAAUUAAGGAUUUCCACCCCCGCUUCAGAGCAGAGGAUUCCGCCGACCUCCACCUGUACCUGUACUCGGCCGUUAGGAAAUCCACUUGCAUUUUUAACUACCGUGCAGAACCAGAAACAGAUCGAGCACUGGGAGAACAAGGACGACGCCUCCUAGGAAAGCCUGAACCUUUAUGUUAGUUUAUCCAAAGUUUGGGCUAGAAGUGAGGAGAAUC